ACUCCUACGGGAGGCAGCAGUGGGGAAUUUUGGACAAUGGGGGCAACCCUGAUCCAGCCAUGCCGCGUGAGUGAAGAAGGCCUUCGGGUUGUAAAGCUCUUUCAGACGGAAAGAAACGGUUACGGCCAAUACCCGUGACUAAUGACGGUACCGUCAGAAGAAGCACCGGCUAACUACGUGCCAGCAGCCGCGGUAAUACGUAGGGUGCGAGCGUUAAUCGGAAUUACUGGGCGUAAAGCGUGCGCAGGCGGUUUUGUAAGACAGAUGUGAAAUCCCCGGGCUUAACCUGGGAACUGCAUUUGUGACUGCAAGACUAGAGUACGGCAGAGGGGGGUAGAAUUCCACGUGUAGCAGUGAAAUGCGUAGAUAUGUGGAGGAAUACCGAUGGCGAAGGCAGCCCCCUGGGUCGAUACUGACGCUCAUGCACGAAAGCGUGGGGAGCAAACAGGAUUAGAUACCCUGGUAGUCCACGCCCUAAACGAUGUCAACUAGGUGUUGGGGAAGGAGACUUCUUUAGUACCGCAGCUAACGCGAUAAGUUGACCGCCUGGGGAGUACGGUCGCAAGAUUAAAACUCAAAUGAAUUGACGG
rnacentral:rRNA from 1 species